rnacentral:rRNA from 1 species
UACGAAGGGUGCAAACGUUGCUCGGAAUUAUUGGGCGUAAAGCGCGCGUAGGCGGCCACUUAAGUCGGAUGUGAAAGCCCCUGGCUCAACUGGGGAAGUGCACCCGAAACUGAAUGGCUUGAAUGCAAAAGAGGGUCGCGGAAUUCCCGGUGUAGAGGUGAAAUUCGUAGAUAUCGGGAGGAACACCGGUGGCGAAGGCGGCGACCUGGGUUGACAUUGACGCUGAGGCGCGAAAGCGUGGGGAGCAAACAGG